rnacentral:ncRNA from 1 species
UGGCAGAAGGGGUUUGAUGGUGCUGCUUUUUGGAGUGGCUGAAAAGGGAACGUGGUGCGAGCGAGAGCUCAAGUCCACGACUGCCCCCGCAACUGUAAGCGGUGAGCGUACUUGAAGAAUACCACUGGGCCUCUGCCUGGGAAGGUUCAAGAGCGUGAUGACCCGUAAGUCAGGAGACCUGCCAUCUCCGGCGCGGUUCC